rnacentral:miRNA from 1 species
GAAGUAAAGAACCGGCUGCAG